AUUGAACGCUGGCGGCAGGCUUAACACAUGCAAGUCGAGCGGGGAAAGGUAGCUUGCUACCUGACCUAGCGGCGGACGGGUGAGUAAUGCUUAGGAAUCUGCCUAUUAGUGGGGGACAACAUUCCGAAAGGAAUGCUAAUACCGCAUACGCCCUACGGGGGAAAGCAGGGGAUCUUCGGACCUUGCGCUAAUAGAUGAGCCGAAGUCAGAUUAGCUAGUUGGUGGGGUAAAGGCCUACCAAGGCGACGAUCUGUAGCGGGUCUGAGAGGAUGAUCCGCCACACUGGGACUGAGACACGGCCCAGACUCCUACGGGAGGCAGCAGUGGGGAAUAUUGGACAAUGGGCGAAAGCCUGAUCCAGCCACGCCGCGUGUGUGAAGAAGGCCUUUUGGUUGCAAAGCACUUUAAGCGAGGAGGAGGCUACUUGGAUUAAUACUCUAGGAUAGUGGACGUUACUCGCAGAAUAAGCACCGGCUAACUCUGUGCCAGCAGCCGCCGUAACAC
rnacentral:rRNA from 1 species